rnacentral:tRNA from 1 species
GCAUCGGUGGUUAAGUGGUAGAAUGAUCGCCUGCCACGCCAACGACUCGGGUUCGAUUCCUGUGCGAUGCA